CCUAUACAAAUGACGUGUUCUAACAAGUGACAUGUGCGUGAGGCUCGAUCUUAAAGUUUGAGUCUAAUACAAAUGACGUCCAUCUUUUCUACAAAUGACGGAGAGUCUUAUACAAAAUUACAAAUGAUGUGAGUUCUGUACAUGUGAUUUAUCUCAAAGAUUACUGCAGCCAGUGGCCCAGUGUAAAAAGUAAAUGAGUAUGCUGGCUUGCUCAUAUUGAAAGUGUCAUCAACAUGAAGUUAAAACGACGUUACAUAUGUCAAUCUCACGCCACUAAGUAAAAAUUCUAAGAAAUUGUGGAAAUGAAAACUAAACUUUUCAACUGUAUUUGCAUUACAAAACUUUAAUUAGUUUA